rnacentral:rRNA from 1 species
CCUACGGGUGACUGCAGUGGGGAAUAUUGGGCAAUGGGCGCAAGCCUGACCCAGCAACGCCGCGUGAAGGAAGAAGGCUUUCGGGUUGUAAACUUCUUUUCUCAGGGACGAAGCAUGUGACGGUACCUGAGGAAUAAGCCACGGCUAACUACGGGCCAGCAGCCGCGGUAAUACGGAGGUGGCAAGCGUUAUGCGGAUUUACUGGGUGUAAAGGGCGUGUAGGCGGGAAAGCAAGUCAGAUGUGAAAACCAUGGGCUCAACCUGGGGCCUGCAUUUGAAACUGUUUUUCUUGAGUACUGGGGAGGCAGGCGGAAUUCCUAGUGUAGCGGUGAAAUGCGUAGAUAUUAGGAAGAACACCAGUGGCGAAGGCAGUCUACUAGACAGCAACUGACGCUGAGGCGCGAAAGCGUGGGGAGCAAACAGGAUUAGAUACCCGGGUAGUC